AACGCGAAAGUCCCCUUCGGGGGGCGAGUAGAGUGGCGACCUGGUUAGUACAAGGUGGACAACGUGCCCUUUGGUGGGGGACAACCCCUGGAAACAGGGGCUAAUACCGCACCAGCCCCGCAGGUCCUCGGACCGGCGGGGGAAAGGCUUCGGCCGCCGAAGGAGCGAUCCACCCCCCAUUAGCUUGUUGGUGAGGUAAUGGCUCACCAAGGCGACGAUGGGUGGCUGGUCUGAGAGGAUGGUCAGCAACACUGGGACUGAGAUACGGCCCAGACUCCUACGGGAGGCAGCAGUCUAGAGGCUUCGGCAAUGGGCGAAAGCCUGACCGAGCGACGCCGCGUGGAGGAUGACGCACUUCGGUGUGUAAACUCCUGUCAGUUGGGGAGAAGGCCCCGGUGGUGAACCGGGGUUUGACUGUCCCAGCAGAGGAAGCCCCGGCUAACUCCGUGCCAGCAGCCGCGGUAAUACGGAGGGGGCAAGCGUUAUUCGGAUUCAUUGGGCGUAAAGAGCGCGUAGGCGGAUUGGCAAGUCCGAUGUGAAAUCUCCACUGCUCACCAGGGAGACGCCAUCGGAAACUGCUGGUCUUGAGGUCCGGAGAGGCAGUUGGAAUUCCCGGUGUAGCGGUGGAAUGCGUAGAUAUCGGGAAGA
rnacentral:rRNA from 1 species